AGGAGAAACUAGCGUUAAUCAGGUUCUGUGAUAUUUGGAGUGGUUUGCUUGCUGGCUAGCAAGUUAUUGCCUUCACACACCAUAGACCAGUAUGGCACUGCAUAAAGGCUUAACCAAAUGUGUACUCUUCUUGUUAUGGCCUCCACAUGUCCUACAUCUACCACCAGCAUUUCUCAGAGACAUCACACAGGAACGUAUGGGCAAAACAACCGAGGAGCAGCUCAGUGGGGAAAAGUGGAAAGUUCUGGACUGACCAAGUCAAUCUCCCAGCUUAAGAUUCAAAACAGACUGAAGUCCCUGAAGCCCAAACAGAAACAGAAACCUUGCUUGGCAAGUAACCCAAGAAAAACCUUGGUUAAACAUGAUUCGUGGACUGUGGAUUUGUGUGAAAGACGUAAAGAUCUGAAGACCAUAACUCUCAGGACCUUAGUUGUGCUAUAUCCUCUCUUUUACUAUGUCAGAUAGAUGAUGAAUUACAUCUACAUUGGAUUUACAC